rfam:Tupaia chinensis contig38476, whole genome shotgun sequence.
UUUUUCAUUUUAGAAACACAUAUAGUAAAGUUGGUAUGAUAAAGAGAAAAUUAGCACAGCACCUGCACAGGAUUAUAUGCAAAUUCAUGAAGUGUUCCAUAUUUUU